rnacentral:lncRNA from 1 species
CAGAAAUCAAAAUCCCCAAAUACCCCUCCCCCAAACCCAUUGGCCAUCAUCGACCACCCUCCGGGCCUCAACCGCACAUACCAUCAUCGGCCACCAGGGGGAGAGAGAAAGAUGUUUCCAGUCGGACGCUAUACUUGUCGUCGUCUCUACACCGCCUAGAACCUUGCGAUGUUGACAAAGAGUGCGAUUCGAGCACUGAUGUGUGAUUCAAACGGUGGUAGGUGCGAUUCGAGCAUUGGCAAGUUCAUCUCUCUCUCUGUGCGUGGUUUUGGGUGGCCAUGGCAGCGGUGGUAUCUAUUGUGGUUUGGGUGUGUUUUUUUAUUUUGGGGGUUGCGGUUUUGGGUUUGGGUUUUAGGUUGACCAAAAACAUGGCCACGAUGGUUGCGUCCCCUCCCCAAAACUCCCUAACUGACUCC